UCCUACGGGGCGCAGCAGUAGGGAAUUUUCGUCAAUGGGCGCAAGCCUGAACGAGCAAUGCCGCGUGAACGAGGAAGGUCUUCGGAUCGUAAAGUUCUGUUGAAGGGGAAAAAGAGCGGAGAGAGGAAAUGGUCUCCGAUUGAUAUUACCCUUCGAGGAAGUCGCGGCUAACUACGUGCCAGCAGCCGCGGUAAUACGUAGGUGGCGAGCGUUAUCAGGAAUGAUUGGGCGUAAAGGGUGCGUAGGCGGCCUGCUAAGUCUGGAGUGAAAGGUACCGGCUCAACCGGUACAGGCUCUGGAAACUG
rnacentral:rRNA from 1 species